rnacentral:rRNA from 1 species
AUUGCUGCGGUUAAAGUGUUCGUAGUUGGCUUUUGAGUCUACGUCCGCGUCAAGUCCGCAAGGUCUCGUAUUUCUUUUCUACGGGUUCUUUUUUUUUAAAUGAAAGCUUACGCUUAAAUAUAAUAAUACAAGCCUGUAUAUAUACGGAGCGAGUCUUGGGAUAACGCGGUUCGUUAGGCGAUACAAAAAGAAACGAGGGUUACGCGCCCCUUAAUCGGAGCCGUGCUCUUUAUAAAAAAUGCUCGGUACUCGGUAUCCUCUUAAGUGAGUGUACCUUGGAACCGGCAUUAAUCACUUUAAUAAAAGUGGAGUGUUUAUAACAGGUCUAUACUAUUUCGUGCGCUUUACUAAAAACGUCUAGCACGAUAAAAUAAGACUUUGGUUUCAAAUAAAUAAAUAAAUAGGCUUUUCCAAUGAAACCCAAAGUAAUGAUUAAAGAGAACUGCCGGGGAUAUUAGUAUUGCAGCGCGAGAGGUGAAAUUCUGUGACCGUUGCAAGACAACCUAACGCGAAAGCAUUUAUCAAGAAAUGUUUUUAUUAAUCAUGAUCUAAAAGUUAGAGGGAUCGAAGGCCAUCACAUACCCGCCCUAUUUUUUUAACCAUAAAAC